rnacentral:rRNA from 1 species
UACGAAGGGGGCUAGCGUUGUUCGGAAUUACUGGGCGUAAAGGGCGCGUAGGCGGUGUGUCAAGUCAGGCGUGAAAGCCCCGGGCUCAACCUGGGAACAGCGCUUGAGACUGGCACGCUCGAGUCCGGGAGAGGUGAGUGGAACUGCGAGUGUAGAGGUGAAAUUCGUAGAUAUUCGCAAGAACACCAGUGGCGAAGGCGGCUCACUGGCCCGGUAUUGACGCUGAGGUGCGAGAGCGUGGGAGCGGAACCGGA